rnacentral:rRNA from 1 species
AGCAGCCGCGGUAAUUCCAGCUCCAAUAGCGUAUAUUAAAGUUGUUGCAGUUAAAAAGCUCGUAGUUGAACCUCGGGGUCUACCCAUUGGUCAGGCUUAAUUGUCUGCACUGGUGAGAUGGAUCUCUACCUUCUGAGGAACUUUCAUGCCAUUUAUUUGGUGUGAUGGGAAAUCAGGACUGUUACUUUGAAAAAUUAGAGUGUUUAAAGCAGACUAUCGUCUGAAUACAUUAGCAUGGAAUAAUGAAAUAGGACGGACUGAUUCUAUUUCGUUGGUUUCUAGGAUCACCGUAAUGAUUAAUAGGGAUAGUUGGGGGCAUUAGUAUUCAAUUGUCAGAGGUGAAAUUCUUGGAUUUAUUGAAGACUAACUACUGCGAAAGCAUUUGCCAAGGAUGUUUUCAUUAAUCAAGAACGAAAGUUAGGGGAUCGAAGACGAUCAGAUACCGUCGUAGUCUUAACCAUAAACUAUGCCGACUAGGGAUCGGAUGAUGUUAAUUUUAUAAUGA